UUGGUUAUAUUCUUGUUUAAAAUUUAGACAUCACUGUUUAAAGAAUGUUUGGGGGGGCUACUGGCGGGCACGGGCAAGGGACCGGAGAUCCCCAACGGUCCGGUUAAAAACGGGCCCGCCAAAGCAACGUGGUAAUAUUGACAAGGGUUGGAGAUUGGGCCCAGAGGACCCUAACUCGGUAAUGAUCCUUCCGCAGGUUCACCUACGGAAA
rnacentral:misc_RNA from 1 species